UGGGGAAUAUUGGACAAUGGGCGCAAGCCUGAUCCAGCCAUGCCGCGUGAGUGACGAAGGCCUUAGGGUUGUAAAGCUCUUUUGGCGGGGAAGAUAAUGACGGUACCCGCAGAAUAAGCUCCGGCUAACUUCGUGCCAGCAGCCGCGGUAAUACGAAGGGAGCUAGCGUUGUUCGGAAUCACUGGGCGUAAAGCGCACGUAGGCGGACUUUCAAGUCAGGGGUGAAAUCCCGGGGCUCAACCUCGGAACUGCCUUUGAUACUGUUGGUCUCGAGUCCGGAAGAGGUGAGUGGAAUUCCUAGUGUAGAGGUGAAAUUCGUAGAUAUUAGGAAGAACACCGGUGGCGAAGGCGGCUCACUGGUCCGGUACUGACGCUGAGGUGCGAAAGCGUGGGGAGCAAACA
rnacentral:rRNA from 1 species